GUUCUCUGGUCAUGGAGAAACUGCCAUAAAUUUUUGCCUAAGAGACGUUUCAACAGCUUAAUUCAAAAGCUUACCCUCUAGGAAUCCGAAGCAUUAAUUAAAAUUCAAAUAGUUUGCUCACAGUUUUCAUGGCUAGAAGCCGAAGUUUUUCAAUAGCACGUCACUAGCUAAAUCAAGUCCUGUUUAAUUUAAGAAUCAGAGAAAAACAAAAGAAAGGGAGGAACCUUAGCAAACUGAAUGAAAGCCAACUUUUAAGCAAGGGUGUAGAACAAGAACGGGGCAAGGAGAAUGCAAAGGAGUUUUCAGUCCCAUGGAAUGUAAAACUCGUUUAUGCUACUCUUCAAAUACAAUGUUCAUUGCACCUAAACAGUAAGACUGAAGACCACAAUUUGUACAGAGAUUACCUCAAUUACUUUCUAUACUUGUCUUUCAGGUUGUUAUCAAGAUGGAGGUACACAUGGAUUUGCCAAGUGCCAGCCAGUUUGAACAUUUUAAAACAAUCUACAUCAGGGGUUGUUCGACAGGAGUUAAUACAUAUGCAUGACAAGCACAUUUACAGAUCACCUACAGUGAGAGGAGCGUUUUGUUACAGUGACAAUGGGGGGAAUCAACCACAGGAUACUGGGUUUCUGGGGUCUCAGAAGACUCUCUCCAGUCUGAUGCAACUGGAUCUUGCAUGCGGACAACAAAUGAUCCAAUAACCACGUAAUAAAAAAGUGUCAAAGGAACCA
rnacentral:lncRNA from 1 species